GGCAGACGGGUGAGUAACAUGUGGGUAUCUGCCCUUUGGCCUGGAAUAACACGAGGAAACUUGUGCUAAUACCGGAUAAGUCUUUACGGAGAAAGCUUUAUGCACCAUUGGAUGAGCCUGCACUUGAUUAGUUUGUUGGUGGGGUAAUGGCCUACCAAGACUGUGAUCAAUAGCUGAUUUGAGAGGAUGAUCAGCCACAUUGGGACUGAGACACGGCCCAAACUCCUACGGGAGGCAGCAGUGGGGAAUCUUGCACAAUGGAGGAAACUCUGAUGCAGCGAUGCCGCGUGAGUGAAGAAGGCCCUUGGGUUGUAAAGCUCUUUCGUCGGGGAAGAAAAUGACUGUACCCGAAUAAGAAGGUCCGGCUAACUUCGUGCCAGCAGCCGCGGUAAUACGAAGGGACCUAGCGUAGUUCGGAAUUACUGGGCUUAAAGAGUUCGUAGGUGGUUGAAAAAGUUGGUGGUGAAAUCCCAGAGCUUAACUCUGGAACUGCCAUCAAAACUUUUCAGCUAGAGUAUGAUAGAGGAAAGCAGAAUUUCUAGUGUAGAGGUGAAAUUCGUAGAUAUUAGAAAGAAUACCAAUUGCGAAGGCAGCUUUCUGGAUCAUUACUGACACUGAGGAACGAAAGCAUGGGUAGCGAAGGGGAUUAGAUACCCUCGUAGUCCAUGCCGUAAACGAUGUGUGUUAGACGUCGGAAAUUUAUUUUCAGUGUCGCAGAGAAAUCGAUAAACACAC
rnacentral:rRNA from 1 species